GAUGAACGCUGGCGGCGUGCCUAAUACAUGCAAGUCGAGCGAACGGACGAGAAGUUGGCUCCUCUGAUGUUAGCGGCGGACGGGUGAGUAACACGUGGAUAACCUACCUAUAAGACAGGGAUAACUUCGGGAAACCGGCGCUAAGACCGGAUAAUAUUUUGAACCGCAUGGUGCAAGAGUGAAAGACGGUCUUGCGGUCACUAAUAGAUGGAUCCGCGCUGCAUUAGCUAGUUGGUAAGGUAACGGCUUACCAAGGCAACGAUGCAUAGCCGACCUGAGAGGGUGAUCGGCCACCCUGGAACUGAGACACGGUCCACACUCCUACGGGAGGCCGCAGUAGGGACUCUUCCGCAAUGGGCGAGAGCCUGACCGAGCAACGCCGCGUGAGUGAUGAAGGUCUUCGGAUCGUAAAACUCUGUUAUUAGGGAAGAACAUAUGUGUAAGUAACUGUGCACAUCUUGACGGUACCUACUCAGAAAGCCACGGCUAACUACGUG
rnacentral:rRNA from 1 species